GUCACGACAAAGUGACACUGUCACACACAGCACUGCACACUGUUGGCACGGUAAUACCCCCGCUUUGGGUGUCUCACCAAUGUCUGGUGCCACGUUACCCUUAUCCACAGUGUCAUUGUCCCACCUAUCUUAUCACACGGUGGUGACGUAUAAUGUGCGUCCUGCAUACAUCCGCUUAUGAAGGGUGGCCACACACAUAUCUGCACUUUCUACUUCUUCAAAUGUGACUUGAACCACACCUUCAGGAUGCAGCUAAGGAAGAGAUGAUUGCUGGUGAGAUUAAAGAUUACCAUGUAUAUACAAGCACUUUUAAUUUUCCCUUGUAUUACUAAAUAUCAAUGGAUAUGAAUUAAAAAAAAUGGUAUUUAUUCCCUAAAUUUGCAGUAUUUUUGGCAUCUUUGAGCAAUUGUGUAUUAUUCAUUUAUGUAUUAUUUUUAUUUAUGUGUCAUUGCGUAUCAUAUAUUUAUGCACAAUGUAGAGGUGAAUUGUGAUUUUAGUACAUUGGAUUUACAAUACUUUAAAUUAAGAAUUACAUUAUUUUGUCAUUUUUCUGAUUUAUAUAUGUAAUCUUUUUGUUAGUGUUAUUAUUUUGUCAUGAAUGAAGGCUGAUGAAGGGGAAAAGAGUGGAGAAGAAAUGCUUACUAAAAUGCUACUUCCAAAAAUUAGUGCAACAUGAGAAAAAAAAAAAAAGUUAGCUGAUUAAUUAAGUUCUGAAGAUGUUCAGAUGAUAUUUCUCUAUUGAGAUAUUUCAAAUCACAGGAAGGAGGAAAAAGGAAAAAGGAAAAAGUAAACUCUGGAACUCCCUGCCUGCUUCUGUAUUUCCACCUUCCUAUGACUUGAAUUCCUUCAAGAGGGAGGUUUCAAGACACUUAUUCAUCAAUUUUUGACUACUGCUUUGACCCUUUUAUGGGACUGGCAUUUCAGUGGGCAUUUUUUUUAUUGGAUUUUUGUUGCCCUUGGCCAGUGUCCUUCCUGCAUAAUAAAAAAAAAAGUUCCAGAGUUUGUCAGCUUGAGGGAUGACAGAGUGAAGAUAGGUGGAGAGCAUACAAAUGAGAAUAAAAUAGAAAUUCCAGUUCCAUACUGUAAACAUCUUGCUGAUUUUGUGCCAUAAUGUCUGAAGCAGGUUAUUCAGGUCAAGGGCUUCCCAGUCAACAACUGGGAUAACUGGAUAACUGGGAUUUACUCUUACAAAUUUAUUAUAAUUCCACCUUUGUGUUGUUAUUUAAGAUUAUCAAUAAAUAAAAAGAGAAAGUUAGCUUCUUUAACAGCAUUUACAGUAUAGUUACUGAAUAUGGAUGGCACAAGGGUUGAAAUUAAAUGUUUCUUUUAUGUAACUGUUGUUCUUCAUUUUGAAGUGCACUAAUGAUAACUUCAUAAAAGCUACUUUAGCAAGAGGUAAGAUGUGAAACUUCUAGUUGAGAUUUUUAAAAAGGGUUAGCCCAAGUAAAUUCAAUAUAAAGAAAGGAAAUAGUUGAGUGCUACUGAAGCACUAACCUAACCUAGGCAGUACUUAUAGAGAAAAAGGAAAGAAGCUUAUUUAAUAAAAUGGUGUGAAAAGAGACCAAUACUGUCUUCACUUCACAGGAUAUUUUAACAUUAAAUCUUCUAACUGUGAGCCAAUUAUGUUUACCACUUGACUGCUAAGUUGCAUGGAAAAAUAUACUUGAUUUAUGUCUUUAUAUUCAUAUAAUUUGGAUGAAUGAAAAAUACUCCAUGAUAGCCAGAAAGAUGACAGUAAAAGUAAAUCUAUUCAACACCAGCUUAUACAUAUUAUUAAUAAAUAAACACUGCAGAAAAACAUUGAUCUUACAUCAAACAGUUCCAACUUCUUUAUUUUGCCAAAGUUUGAAGCCUGGCUCCUCAUGGCUUCUUUGUGAUCUAGGAUUUUGUCCAUGGCAACUUCAAACUCCUUUGGAUCAAACACAUUGCGGAUCACAACUGUGUUCUCCCAUUUCUUCCUCUGUCCCCUCAUAGGCUCUGGUCGCCAAUCAAAUAACCUGCAAAAAUAAGUACAGAACAGUUAUACCUGGAAGACUUUGCAUGAAAUCUACUAUAGCAGGGGACUGUUUCAGUGAAUGCUUCUUGGGAAGGUGAGCAGUUUCAGCAGAAUUGAAAAUUUGGAUAACUGGGAUUUACUCUUACAAAUUUAUUAUAAUUCCACCUUUGUGUUGUUAUUUAAGAUUAUCAAUAAAUAAAAAGAGAAGUUAGCUUCUUUAACAGCAUUUACAGUAUAGUUACUGAAUUUAAUAAUAAUGUCAUGUCACUGUAUCAUGAUGGAGCAAAAAACUAAAAACAGUGGAACCUCGGUUCAUGAACUUAAUCCAUUCCAUGACUCGGUUUGUGAACCAAGAUCUUUGCCUAACAAAACAAUUUUUCUUACUGAAAUGAAUGUAAAUACAGUUAAUUUGUUCCAGCCUCAGAAACAUUGCAUUUUUUUCCCAUUUUUAAAAGUGUUAUUUUUCUGUUAAAGAACAAACCAAUGUGACUAGCCUAUUCACAAAUUAUUGCCUCAGUAGCACUAUCUCCAGCCAGCUGCUUUUCAUUCAUCCACACUAACAACAGUUUUUUUUUUUUUUUUCACUCUUUCUAUCACAUUAGGCCUGUGCUUUAGCCCUGGAGCUCAUUUCCUGGCAUGUUAUUUCAGUGACCUAUUUUCAAAGAAUCCAUACCUGUACUAUGUACCUUUAUAAAUCUGUUCAAUAUGCAUAUAUGUAUCUAAAUAUGUCCACACAUGUAUAUAUAUGAGUAUAUCUGUAUAUAGUACUUCAGUGUAUAUUUAUGUAAAUGUUUGUGGAAACUAUAAAUUUCUGAAAAGA